GCUAGUUCCAGACCUGAAGAAUGGUCUUGCGGCCCACCGCUGCUAUGAUCAUGGAGAAACGUCUAUUAGGUACGGGGUUGCCAGGCAUGGGUCCCAACAAUAGGAAACUAGGAUUUAAUGUCAAGGGCGAUAUAUUGUUGUUCAUUAAGUAUUGCGCAACCUCCCUCCAGAAGCCCUGUAUUAGGGGGCACUCCCACAGGCAGUGAUACAGGUCACUGUUGAUGUG